rnacentral:rRNA from 1 species
CCUACGGGGGGCAGCAGUGAGGAAUAUUGGUCAAUGGACGCAAGUCUGAACCAGCCACGUAGCGUGCAGGAUGACGGCCCUCCGGGUUGUAAACUGCUUUUAGUUGGGAGUAAAAGGGGGCUCGUGAGCCCCGUAUUGUAUGUACCAUCAGAAAAAGGACCGGCUAAUUCCGUGCCAGCAGCCGCGGUAAUACGGAGGGUCCGAGCGUUAUCCGGAUUUAUUGGGUUUAAAGGGCGCGUAGGCCGGUUGUCAAGUCAGCUGUGAAAGUCGGGGGCUUAACCGUAGAAGUGCCGUUGAAACUGGAAGCCUAGAGUGCAGACGGGGAAGGUGGAAUUCAUGGUGUAGCGGUGAAAUGCGUAGAGAUCAUGAAGAACACCGAUUGCGAAGGCGAGUGUCCGGAGUAUAACUGACGCUGAGGCUCGAAAGUGCGGGGAGCAAACAGGAUUAGAUACCCCAGUAGUC